rnacentral:tRNA from 1 species
GCGUACGUAGCUCAAUGGUAGAGCCGCCGCCUUCCAAGCGAGAGAUGCCCGUUCGAUUCGGGUCGGACGCUCCA